AAUGAAACUUUAAGAUGACAUGUGGCAUAUAUUGAUGAAAUGAGCAGGUUAUCGGGUCAGAUAAGGAAACAAGUAGACUACUAUUAUGUGAAGCAACUGCAGUGGUUAUGAGAAAAUGCUUCAAUCUCCUGGGAAUCACACCUAUUUACAAGAUAUGAUUGUACUUUGAAAGCUUUACAUAUAACCUAUUCUUGAGAAGGGUGGUGGGUUUUAUAUUAGUUCAUAUAAAAUCCUAUGUACCAUGACAAUUGUAUUCAGAUCUCAUUACUUUAUUUAUUUGGACAGUUUUGAUUUUAAUUAUGUAUUUAGCUAUGAAUUUAUUAAUACCUGCAGCAAGGCCUAAUUAACUAAUUUAUUUACCUAUUUAAAACACUAAUCGCUUUCAGCUGCUGAAGGAUUGUCAUGAAAUAUUAUUAAUUCACUUCUUUACUCCAAACCUUAAUAUUCAUGUUAAUAUCGACUCAUAUUUAAACUAUGUAAUUGAAUCAAUUAGGUACUAAGUUGAUAAAUUAUUAAAAUGUACUAUAUAUAUAGAAGCUAUAUUUUGUGGGAGCAUUUUUGUUUUUUAGAUUUUUAUAAGAAAUAAAUAGAAACUCAAUUAUGAUAAGAGUUGCUAAUUUUAAACAUUUCAAUUAAAUUAUCAUAAUUUUUACAUUAUUUUUAACAAAUAAAUUUUUUUCAAUUACAUUGUGAGUGUCAUAAUACAAUAUAUAUUUUAUGUCUUGACAUUUUUAAGAUGGAGGUCUUUAAUCUUUGAAUAUUUAAAAUCGAGUUUAAUGUAUGAAUUUUUGAUUCUAAUAUGUUUGUACGGCAUAUAUAUUUGUAUUUCUACGAAUUAUGUUUAUAACAAUAAAACAAGUCGAAUAAAUAUAUUUGAACAAAAAGUCAACAAAACAACAGGAAGUGAAUAGUCAGAAAUCUGGUGGCGUUCCACCCAAAAUGGAAAGUGGGAUGGAAUGAUAAAUCCACUUGUUGGUUAAAAAUUGAAGCUAAUUGAUGAAUAAUUAAGUGGAAUGGAAUGAUCAAAAUUCACCCAACCUAACAUGGUUGGAGCCUAAUCAAUUCCCCAUUUUGCUAUUAAUUAAUAAUACAUUAUUAUUCAUCUAUUUCCCAGUUGUACACUUAUACUGCUCAUUGAAUUAUCUUGCCCGCUUUAUUUAAUCCUGUAUUUAUUUAAAAGUAUUUUUAUUCAUGUUGUUUGGUUUAAGUUAGACGAAUUAAUAAUAUUCAUAAAUAAUAAAGCAAACAAUAAAUAAGUACGUACCUUUUUUAUAUAUAAAAUAAAAAAAAUUUACACAAUAAAUUUUUUUAGAUUACACAAGGAGGGUUAUAUAUAUAUAUAUAUUAUAGGGUGUAGUAAAAAAAUAAAAAAAAUAUUUAGAUAAAAAAAUGAGUAUUUGGUACACUAGUAGCGUACUUUGUUUAUUUCACAAGUAAUCUUAAAAAGUUGGCAUGUGUUAAUUUUUUUAAAAAUAUCUAUUUUUUAAUAUUAGACUAUAUGCCUAUAGGACACUUGUUAACCCCUUAGCCCUAUUUGUGGGGUUUAAAAAUUUCAUUUGCAGUGCACUAAAUAUUUUUUCCUUAUGUAAAUUAAUUUGACACUUGUCACACGCUCAAUCUAUUUGUGGAGUACUAUAAAAAACUUCAUUGAUAGUAUAUCAAAUAAUAUAAACAUAUAAAAAGAAGGGUUAAUAUUUGACACACUAGUAAUAUAUCUUUUUAAUUCUGCAAGCAGUUUUAAAAAAUUGUCAUGUGUUCUUUUUUGAGUGUUUUCUUAAUAUUUUAUCAUAUUUCUUUUGGGCACGUGUCAAUCCCUUAACCUUACUUGUGGAGUCUAAAAACUUAAUUGUGUACCGAAUCUUUUCCUUAAAACAAAUACACAAAACUAUAUUAUUAAUAUUAUAAAUUAUAUAAAAUUCAACAGUUCGAAAUGAUUUAUUAUACCAGUGCUAUAAAUGAACAUAUAUAUAUAUAUAUAUAUAUAUAUUUGCAAAAAUAUGAGUAAAUUAAAUAAACUUUGUUUAUGCCGAAUUCAUUUAAUAAAAAAAAAACUCAAAAGUUUUGUACAUAUACACAUACCAAAUUGGUAAUAAAUUAUUACUCAUUCAACUCUACGGGAACAAAACCAUAAAUCGAUAAAUCUAUUAAAACUUUGAUGUUAUAAAUCGAUAAAUCGAUAUAAAAAUGAUGGCAAAGAAAAGUAAAGGUAAAAGAUACGUAUGACUUACCAUAUGAUUUUAAGAAAAUUGGCUUCCUCGUUUCGGGUUUAAAAUAUAUUUUAUAAUUUUUUUAAAUAAAAAUUAUUUAUGUUCUUGUUAUAUUGCUAUUUAAUUUAUUUUCAAAAUAAUAAAAAUUUAAUAACAUAUAAAUUAAAUGUAUUUGCAUAACCAAAUGUAAAAGAGAAGACAAAAACAAAAACAAAAUAUAAUUAUCAUUGAUAUUAAUUUUAUAAAAAUAAACUUACAACCAAAGAUGCCAAGAUCUUAGGCUCACUCUUUGUAAACCAUAUAUUUUGGUCUAGAUUUAAAUAAAUUUUGGUUUCGGCUAUAAUUAUUUACAAGUAUUUUUUAUAAUUAUAAUUGUGAUUAUACGGGUAACAUUUAAAAAGAAAAUCUUUAUAUAUAUAUUAAAUGAAAAAUACAUUAUGUUUAAUGAGCUAGUAAUAUUGUAGUGUAUUUUUUUUAUCAGACAUAAUUAAAAUUUUUUUGUUAACGGGGUAACCACAAAUCUCGAAUAAAAUAAAUUCGGAAAAACCAAAUUUAAUUAUUCUAAGAAGGAACAAAUAAAGAAGUUGACUUGCUGUAGAAUGGAUAUUUUAAUAUCUCCAAAAAGGAUAUUAAUGGAGGAUAUAUAAUAUUGUUGAAUGAAAUGAAGUGGGUGGGCUGUGGUGUGAACCAUUUUCAGUUUUGUCUAUUAGUAUAAGCAUGAAAGAGAUGGACGUAACUUGGUUCUUAUUCUCUAUAAGAAGCAGCUUGGAAUCAGAUAUUUUGGCAUUAAUUACUAAAAAAAUCUUUAAUGAAGAAUGGCUUCAACAUUCAAGCUCGUCUUUGCUGUUCCUUUGUUGCUCCAGCUUUUAGGUAUCUUCUUCUUCUCUACAUUAUGUGUUGUAUUGCUUCUGCAAUUAAUAAUAUUAAUUAAAACAAUGAAGAAUGGCUUUGCUAUUCAUCUCGGCUUAAGCCUUUGUGUGUGUAUAUAUAUAUCAGGCUUUAAUCUCUGAUUUUGAGUCUGCUUGUUUUGUGCUUCAUUCUUUUUCUUGUAGUUAAUAGGAAGGUUUAAUGGUAGUGACAGAUGGUAGCAUUGCUGUUACGAAAUUUUACUCAAAAACAAUCAGAAGAGUGUAAGGUUGGUACACUUGGGUGUACUAUUGAUAUCAACAAUUUAAUGUUAUACAAUUGUGUGGGGGAGAGUUGUGAGGUACCAAAGACGGCAUCGACUUUGGUCUUUGGUCAAUGUUUUAUGUGACCAUUGGUCACUAUAAAAAGAAGCUUGGAUGCCAGUUAGUGUAAAGGAAAGAGCAACAUUAUUUGGCAUCAAAUUUUAAAACCGAUGGCUUCAAGAUUUAAGCUUGUUUUUGCACUCUCUUUGUUGCUUCUUCUGUUAGGUAUUCUCAUAUUUUCUUCUCUCUUUUUUUUUUCAUAGUAUUUAUUUCUCAAUUGAUCAAUAUAUUAACUUCAUGUUCAAGAUUUUGAUUUUAUGUAAUAUUUGUGCUUAAUUCUUUUGUUGAUAUGACCUCUAUCUAAAAAUUUUAUUAGAUCCUGUCUCUCUUUUGCUUAAUUUUAGGAGCAAAAUUUGAUUAAGUGGAAAGAGUCAAAGAAUAAAGACUGAACCAUUUUAGAGUCAAUGAACCUAACUCUUCUACUUUUCUGUAACACCCUUUACCCGUAUUCGACACCGGAAUAGUCUACGAGGCAUUACUAGAACACAUACACUUACAAACAUGUUAAACUGAGUUAUAAAAUUUCAUUCAAAUUUAAACUCUUCAGAUUUUAACAUGCUUUUAUAAAUCUUCACAUUAUAACUUCAAAAUACUAUAUUUGUAACAAAUAGGGCUUCUGAGACCCAAUACAUACUUAUGUAAUCCAAUACUUCAUUUUCAUUUCAUUUAAUUCACGAUUCUCAUGUUUACGAUUCAAUUCAAUUUCUUAAUACAAUAUUGUAACACCCCUUACCCGUAUUCGACACCGAAAUAGGGUACGAGGCAUUACCAGAGUUUACUAAUUAAUUUUCAGACAUUUAAUUUUUAUCUAGCAUUCAUAUUUAUAACCCAUCAAAAUCAAAACAUUAAUGAGCUAAUGUUAACCAAUUUAACUUGUACAUGCCAUUAUAACCAGAAUCAAAUCAUCCAAAAUUACCGAUAGAACCAAUGGAUAAUGUGAUAUAUCUCCAACAAGCUUCCAAUCCAAUCGAGCUUCCGAUAAUUAUUUCAAAACAUCUAAUAAUUAUACAUAUUACCAAUAAUAAUUCAAUUCCAAUAAUAAAACACACAUAUAUGUAUAUAAUAUUCAUUACCAAAUAGCAUUCACUUCAAUUAAAAUUAUACAAAAUAUAGUUCAUAUGAAUUUAACCGGCUAAAUUGCAGAAAUACUAAAAUUCAGGGUUAUUUUGAAAAAUUUAUAUUUUUCUCGAAUUUUCACCCAAUCAUAAUCUAAAUUAAUAUUUCAUUCAAUGUACUAAUUUAAAUAAUAAAACAACUCAUUUCAUAUAAUUUGGUCACUUUUUGACAUUUUUUUACAAAUUUACCCUUAAAGUUUCACAUUUGUUCAAUUUAGUCUCUGAACCUAAAACAUGUAAAUUGGUCAUUUCUAAUGAAAACUCAUGCUAGUUGAAUAAUCAUAUAUUUUCCUCCUCCUCCUCUCCAUUCCACAUCCUUAAUGUAUAUAACAUGCUUAUAGGUAACAUUAUCUAUAAUUUCACCAUUUACUUAUAUAUUCAUUCAAAGCUGUGCACUUGAGUCGUAGUCACAAAAUUAUUUAUAUCUUGAGCUACAGAACUCAAAAUUAAGAUCCGUUAAUUUUAUCUGAAACUAGACUCACAUAUCUUCUUACCAUAAAAUUUUUCGAAUUUUUGGUUUGGCAAAUAAGUACAUUUUAUUCUUUAAAGUCAUCCCUAUUCUGCUGUCUGACAGUUCCGACCCUUCUUUACUAAAAAUUAAUUAUCUCAUCGUACAGAAUUAGAAUGAUGUUACCAUUUAUUUCUAUUGAAAAUAGACUUAUUAAGGAUUUAAACAUAUAAAUUUAAGCCUCUAAUUAAUUUUCUCCAAUUUUUGAUGAUUUUCCAAAGUCAGUACAGGGGAACCCGAAAUCAUUCUGACCUUGUCUCACAAAAUCUAUUAUAUCUUAUAAUCUAAAAUUCCAUUGCUUACACUGUUUCUUCUAUGAGAAACUAGACUCAAUAAGUUUUAAUUUAAUAUUUUUUUCACCCUCUAAUUCAAUUUAUACAAUUUUUGAUAGAUUUUCAAAAUCAGACUACUGCUGCUGUCUCAAAACUGUUUUAGUGUAAAAUGUUGAUAACUAAAUUUAUAACACUUUCCUUUCCUUUCUCUUCAAUAUUUUCCAUCACUUUCUCUUAUUUCCCUUUAAUAACAUAACAAGAAUAUAGAACCUUAUAUAAUGAAACUCUUCCUUAACAUUAAUUUUCUACUUUUUCAAUAAUAUCAAACUCAAAAGUAUAUAAAAAUCUUGAUGUUCUUACCUUAUGCCAUUGAUUUCAAUCUUUAACUUGAAUUUUCUCCCUCCUCUAGCUUCUAUUUCUUGAAUCUAACUUGAUAUUCUAGCUCCCCAUAGUCUCCCUGUUAUCUUUCUCUCUUGAUGGAUAUGGAAAUUCUUUUAAUUUCUAAGUGAAAAUGGUGAAUUUUUGGUAAAAGGACCAAAUUGUAAAGAAAAGAAAGUUUCUCUCUUUCUUUUCUCUUCAUACGUUAGUUGCAUGGGGAAAAAGAUGAUUCUUCAUCUUUUCUUCCAUAUAUAUAUAUACUAAACAAAUUACUAAUAAAAUAAUAAAAUAUCAUUUAAAAUCUAAUUAAAAUAUUAAUUAAUAAACUAAUAUUUAUUUAUUUAAUCUAANNNNNNNNNNNNNNNNNNNNNNNNNNNNNNNNNNNNNNNNNNNNNNNNNNNNNNNNNNNNNNNNNNNNNNNNNNNNNNNNNNNNNNNNNNNNNNNNNNNNNNNNNNNNNNNNNNNNNNNNNNNNNNNNNNNNNNNNNNNNNNNAUUCAAUUUGGUCCCAAUUCAUCCAUUUUCCUUAGUUUCUAGAUUAUUCUACCCUUAAAAUAUUUAAAAUAUUGGUCCUUCAAAUUUUUCAUAUUUACACUUUAACCCCUAAACUUUUGAGUAUUUACUCUUGGGUAACAAAACUUUUCCCACUUUUGCAAUUUAAUCUUUUCUUGAAUUAAUACGUCAUAAUAUAUUUCCCAAUGUUGACAUAAAUCAAUUACCCUUUUUAUCACUUUAUUUCCUUAUUUUUCCAUAUCAGGGAUAUUAUCUUACUUUCUCACUGUAGAAAUUUUCGGGAUAUUACAAUUUCAUAGCUAGUUAACCCUUCUAGCUUCUAGAAUUCAAAAUCUAAAUUUUAUACAAAUAGGUUCUUUCCUUAAUUAAUCACUAAAUCGAUAAAAUUUUCAUAUCAGUAUUUUCAUGCAACCUUCCUAUCAUAAUGCAACCCAUGUCAUAAUUUUAAAAUAAUUUUUUUCAUCGGAUUUGUGGUUCUGAAACCACUGUUCCAACUAGACCUAAAAUCGGGCUGUUACAAAUAUACAUUUCAAUACUACAAUAAUUCAUUUAAUUCAAAUCAUAUCAUUUGCAAUUUCCAUUUAAUUCACGUACAGUUCAAUUUCAUUAAGUUCAAUACUAAUACAUAUUUAUCGUUUAACGUCCCCUUUUUGCGUCAUUUUACACUUCAAGCAUGAACUUAGUAUUUCGUUUCAUUCACUCCCGUUUCCUAUGCAUAUCACACAAGAUAUAAACAUUACACUCAACCAUAGUCGCAAGCUAAUCUUCUUGAAGACUAACCACAUGACAAACCAUUUUAAUAAAGAUUACAAACUUUAAACCUUACCACCCUUUUAUGAUCACAAUCAAAUUUCCAUCUAGACAUUUACCAUCACAUUGCAUAAUUUUAUAAAUUUAAUGUGGCAUAAUCUAGCCACAACUUGGCCAAAGCCUAAGCAUACACACCAAACAUACUAGCCAAAUUAAUAAACAUAUAGUAUAAGCAUUAUAAGCAUCAUUUCUAUUUCAGCAUCUAUCAAUUAUAAUCGAGCAUAUGACCAAUUAUACUCAAAUCAUUCAUAUAUUUCCCAAUUUUCCUCCUCCUCCUCUCCAUUCCACAUCCUUAGUGUGUAUAACACACUUAAACAACAUUAACUAUAAUUUUCACUAUUCACUCACAUGUAUAUUCAAAGCUAUUUAUCCGAGUCAGAGUCACUAAAUUAUUUUUAUCUAGAGCUACAGAGCUCUAAAUUAAGAUCCGUUAAUUUUCCCUAAAACUAGACUCACAUAUCUUCUUACCAUAAAAUUUUUAGAAUUUUUGGUUUAGUAAAAUAGUACAGUUUAUUAUUUAAAGUUUCCCCUAUUUUACUGCUUGACAGUUUUGAUCUCUCUUCACUAAAAAUUAAUUAUCUCAUUGUAUAGAAUGUGAAUAUUAUUCUUGCUUGUUUCUCUUGAAAAUAGACUCACUGAGGAUUCUAAACAUAUAAAUUUUAUCCUGUAAUUAUUUUUGUACAAUUUUUAAAAAUUUUCCAAAAUCAGAACAGGGGAUUCUAAACUCAUUCUGACUCUGUUUAACUAAACUUCAAAUAUAUCAAAAUAUAUAACUCUUUUGCUUUCUCUGUUUAUUUUAUGUGAAAAUAGACUCAUUCAGCUUUGGUUUCAUAUAUUAUUCAGCCUCUAAUUCAAUUUCCACCAUUUUUUAUGAUUUUUAAAAUUCACGCAACUUUUGCUGUCUAAACUGUUUUGUUAAUAAAUGUACUCUUUCAUAAUUUCACUUUUUCACUUUCAAUCACAAUUCAAUUCAAAAUUCACUUUUUCAUUUCUAAGUCGAUAUUCAAUUCAAUUCCAUAUCUAUAUUCAUUAUUCAAUUACACUUAGUUAAUUUCCCGAUAAACACUUUGGAACAAUAACAAUAGAUACUCGGUGAAUUCAGUACAUAGCAACCACCUUAUUAAUCAAUGAUGUUCGGUUCACAUAAUAGCCUGCACAUAGUACUACACAUGUGACCAUUACCAUCCGAUACAUGUAGUAGCCUGCAUAUAGUACUACACUCGUGAUCGAAACUAUCCGGUACGCAUAGUAGCCUGCAUAUAGUACUACACAUGCGACCCAUCAUUCCGGUACACGUAGUAGCCUGCUAGUACGACACACGUGACCAUCGCUUUCACUUUUACAUAGUGGCCUACACACAGUUUGUGUCACACAUGUGAUCAUUUUUGUCACUUCAUUCGUAUCCCUUUUUAUUCCGGAGGUUCAUUCGGGAAUUUCUCUUUUUCUCACCUUUCUUUUUAUCAAUCAAUUUCAAUUUCUCGUCUUUCUUAAUUUAUAAAAAUACAUUUUGCUUAUAUAACAUUCACACUAUUCAUUCCAGUCAAAAAAUCAUACUUUGGAAAAAUUACGUUUUGCCCCUAAACUUUUGCAUAUUUUCACUUUUGCCCCAAAGCUUGGAAAUUAAACAUCAUCCCUUAUUCUUAUGUUUUAUAACAUGCUGAACAUUUUUACCUUCUAUGGUAACAUCAAAUUCCCACUCUAACACUUACUUAUGAACAUUAGGUAUUUUUACCGAUUAUGUCGUUUAACUCGUUUUCACUUAAAAUCGCCUAGCAAAGGUUGUUUAACAUAAUUUCAAACUUCAUAUUUUACCAUAAAACAUCAAAAUAAACACAUUUCACUUAUGAGUAUUUUUCCAAAUAUGAACCCUAACAUGAAUUAAUGGUAGAAUAAACUAAAUUGAGCUACGGGGACUAUAAACAUAAAAAAAAUUAAAAACGGGGUUAGAACGGACUUACAAUCGAGCUUGGAAGCUUGAAAACCCUAACCAUGGCUUCCCCCUUGCUAAAUUCGGCCUUAUGGAGAAGAUGGACAAAAAUUGGCUUUUAAUUUUGUUUUUAAUUCGUUUUAAUAACUAAAUGACCAAAAUGCCCUUAAUGAAAAACUUUAGAAACAUGCCUAACCAUGUUUAUUUUUUUCCACCAACUUAACCAAUGGUCUAAUUCCCUAUAAAGACCUCCAAUUUAAAAUUUCAUAACAAUCGGACACCUCUAACAUAUAGAACACAACUUUUGCAGUGCCCAAACGUCAAAAUUUUUGAAGGAAAUUUUUACGAAAUCAUUUUGUGAAAUCGUAGACCAUAAAAAUAUAAUAAAAAUAAAUUUUUUCUCGUCAAAUUUGUUGUCCCGAAACCACUAUUCCGACUGGCCCCAAAUUUGGGCUGUUACAUUUUCUACAUACGCCACACAAAUAAACAAAACAAUAUAAUAUUGGGAGGUCAUUGGUCAAUCAUCAAUGUGCCUUAAAGGAGGAGGAUAUUUUGGCAGUAGCUAUUGGAUUUCAUAAACAAUGGCCGUCCAUGGCUUCAGAUUCAAGCUUUUAGCCAUCUUUUCUUCUUUUCAUAUUUGCUUAGACCAUUGUAUUUUCCAAGCUUUUAAUAUCUGAUUUUGAGAAAACAAUCUCAGCUCUUCCGAGUACUCUGCUUGUGUUGUGUGCUUUCAUUCUUUUCCCUCUUUCUUAUAAUAACAGAUGGGAUAUAUGUAAAUUUUCAAAAUGUCUGAAUCGUUUCAUUUAUCAGAUAUCUCAAUAUAUAUAUAUAUAUAUAUUAUUUAAAUUCGUAUUAAUAUUUGUAGAAUAUCUGAAUUUAAAUCAAAUAUCAAAGUUCAAUUUCGAUGGGCAGAUUUUUGUUGGGGAAACAAAGUUGGAGUUGACUAUGGAAUGGAUGCUGAUUAUCUUCCAUCCCCUGAAAAAGUAGCACAAUUGGUUCGAAAUCACAACAUUCAGUACCUUAGGAUUUAUAAUUACAGACCCGAAGUGUUGCGGGCGUUUUCAAACACCGGUAUUGAACUUAUGGUGGGAGUUCCUAAUGCAGACUUAUCACAAUUCCAGUCCCAACCAUAUGUAGAUUCCUGGCUGAGGACUAGCAUCCUCCCGUACCGCGAAGCCACAAAGAUCACCCACAUCACCGUAGGUGUUGAAGUGACUAAUAGCCCAGAUAAUGCCGCCAACUUGGUUGUGCGCGCCAUGAGAAAUGUCGUCUCUGCAUUGAAAUCGGCCAACCUGCAAGGUAAAAUCAAGGUUUCAACUCCACUCUCCUUCGGGGUUUUAUCCAAAUCCUACCCACCUUCCGAAGGGGCAUUUAACAGUGGCUAUGAAUAUGUCUUGAGACCUUUGUUGGACUUCCUAGAAGAGAACCAAUCACCUUUUAUGGUCAAUUUAUAUCCUUUUUACGCUAUUGAAGAUUCUUCUUUGGAUGCUGUUCUGUUUAAGUCACCCUCUCCCAUUUUCGUAGAUCAGAAUACCGGUCUUAGUUACAAGAACAUUUUUGAUGCUCAGCUAGACGCUGUUUUUUACGCCAUUGCCAAUCUGAAUUUCAGAACAACUAGGAACACAUUUGAUGCUCAGCCAGAUACUGUUCAUUUUACCUUGGCCGAUACUGAUUUGAUAAUAAGUGACAUUAUUGCUGCGGAAACCGGCUGGCCUACACGUGGUUCUAGGCGACCACAUGCAAGUACUCACAAUGCCAAGACUUAUAACUAUUCUGCUAGUCUUGACAGUGUAGACGACUACGCUAACAUUGACAAUGCCCAGACUUACAACACCAACUUAAUUAGUCAUGUUAUGGGUGGCUCCGGGACGCCUGCUAGGCCUGGUGCAAACCUAGAUGUGUACAUUUUCUCCUUGUUUAAUGAGAACCUGAAGCAAGGACCGGAAACAGAGAGAAACUUUGGUUUAUUUUAUCCCGACAUGACGAGUGUUUAUAACCUGGUCUUCCCUGGAAAAGGAACCGGAAGAAGCUGGUGCGUUGCUUCUAGACAGGCUUCAAAUUCGGCUUUACAGAAUGCGCUAGAUUGGGCUUGUGGUCCGGGAAAGGCGGAUUGCUCCGCCCUUCAGCCUGACCAGCAAUGUUUUGAACCAAAUAAUCUAGUUUCUCAUGCCUCUUUUGCAUUCAACAAUUACUACCAGAAAAACGGGCUCACUGAUCAAGCAUGCCGUUUUGGAGGAACUGGGAUCGUAGUCUAUAACGACCCUAGUAAGUCAAUUACUUUAUGCAGAAUUUGAUCACAAUAUUGCAUGAUAUCUCAACUCUAAAAAUCUAAAAAACUAUUUUCCAUUAUUUGUGCAGGCUAUGGUAAUUGCAUCUAUAAUGGUAAGUACAGAUUCUUAAACAUCUCAUGUACCAUACCUAUUUUUCUUUUGCGCCCCCCCCCCCCCACUUUCUAUUUUUGCAUAUUUGAUAUCAUUAGAGAAACUGGGAUUUUUUUAUUUUCACAGUAAAAAGUAGGGAUCCGAAUGGAAGAACUUGGUGCGUUGCUACUAGUCAGGCUUCUAGGUCGAAUUUACAGAAUGCAUUAGAUUGGGCAUGCGGUCCUGGAAAAGCUGAUUGUUCGGAAAUUCAGCCUAACCAGAGAUGUUUUCAGCCUGAUACUCUACUUGCUCAUGCCUCUUUCGCCUUCAACAAUUACUACCGGAAAAAUGGUGCUACAGAUGCUUCCUGCAGUUUCCGUGGAAAUGCAAUCAAAGUUGAUCGGGAUCCUAGUAAGUCUCUUGUUUGACCCUUCCAUUUAACUCAUCUGAUUUUCCAAACUGCAAACAGUUAUAUAUCUAUCUAAUUUAUUUGUGCAGGCUAUGGUAAUUGCAUCUAUCACUGUAAGUACAAAUUCUGAAACAUCCCAUGUUCCAUACACUGUCUAUUGUUAAUAUUAUCAUUACACGCUGAUUCCGUUUUUUUCGAUUUGUACAGAAGAGGACUUAUCAUAAGAAUAAAGUAGUUGUGAUUAUCGUGGGCGACCGCAUGAGCUAAGCUAAUGUUACCAGCGUAUAAUUAUUGCGAUUAUCACAUGAUUACCAAAACUGCAGCUUGUAAUACGACUACCAUUGCUACUUCUUUGUAAUGGUUUUCAUCAGUGAAUCUAUCAAAAAUAACGUUUACGGUUAAAAAAUAGGGAAUAGGAUCGAUCUCAUAAGGAUUUUAGAUUGCCCUUGUUUGAAUUUUUCAUAACCAGAACAUUUCGUGAACAGUUUAGUGCACACAACUCUUGCUCUCUUGGGUAAAAUAAGUAAAAGGAUUAAAGUAAUAUAAAAUUAAAUAAAUUAAAAUCAAACAUCAAUAAAAUAGUAAAUAAAAACCCAUGGUACUGUUCCCAACACCUCACCAAAGAUUAUUUUUGAAAUGACAUAAAAAAUAAUAAUAUGAGAUGGUCUUAUCUAUUUUUUAAACCGAAAAAAAAUAAUAUUCAAAUGAAAAGAAUUUAACUGUAAUUUCAGAUCUCCCAACUCAAAUCCCAAAAUUUAGUCAACUUUUAACUGAAAAUAGUUUAAUUGCUGAUAUAUAGUAAAAAAAUUAACAAAAAAAAUUAAGAAGAAAUAAAGCUAAAAUAAUAAAAAGAAAGAAACGGCAAGUAAGCGCAAGCUACAAUUGAAAAGCAAAAACCUCUUCCCCCAAAAAACAAAAGCAAGAAAAAAUGCACCCUUUGUUUCUUCAAUUUCCAGUAUUUAUGCUGAAAACUGAUACAUAGUAUUUACUCCUAUACAAAACUUUAAAGAUAAAGUUUAUCUAAAUAAAAUAUAAGGAAUAAAACUUAAUCCUAAUUAAAUUCUUAAUAAAUAUUUUUACAGAUAUUAUUUAAAUAAAAAUAAUAAAAAUAAAUAUUAUAUAAAAUAAUCUCAAAUCUUUCAUGUGACUUCAUAUUUUCACUUGUUCCCGACAUUUUGACUCUCUCUCUCUUGAUGUACUUGUAUUCAUUUAGACUUAUCUCUUUGUGCUCAUUUAAGGGUGGAGAAGAAAAGUGUCGCAGGGCAUGGGCACAAAUAUGUGAAAUCAGCCGGACUGAAUUUCAUAAGGUCUAUCAACGACUUGGAUUUCAUUUAGAGGAAAAAGUAAGUAAUGUCAAAUGUCAACCUCUAUGUAUUGUUAUAUUUUGGUCAGCUUAGUUAAUUUUCAGGUGCACUUCUACAUAAAAACUUCUCUAUGACAUUCAGGGAUCAUUGCAAAACUCCUUUUUUUUAUGAUUUACUUCGAUUUUUUCUUUAUAUCUUGGACCUAUUUAUAUAAUUAUCUUUAAUCUUGUACAAACCGUAAAUAUUGUGUUUAUUGAUUUUAACAUUUAUAUAAUUGACAGAGGUCUUGCUUAUGUGCAAUUGUACACCAUCAUGCUACUUUGACAUAUUCCACCAAGCUAGUCAAGUUUUCUACAACCUCAUUUUAGAAUGUUUUGUCCCUAGUGCAAAUGGUGCUCCUGAUUGACCUAUUUAUGAUUAUUUCCUUGUUGACAGGGAGAGAGCUUUUAUAAUCCUUAUAUUCCUGGGGUUAUAGAAGGGUUGACCAAACAAGGAUUAGUUGAGGAAAGUCAGGGAGCUCGUGUGAUCUUUAUUGAAGGCAUUAAUAUACCUCUUAUUGUUGUGAAGAGUGAUGGUGGUUUCAACUAUGCAUCAACUGACCUGGCUGCUCUUUGGUAAGUUUUCUUCCGUUAUUUGAUGUUACGAGCCUGUAGUUUUUGUUUGGCAUUCCUUGCCAAAUGUCAGAAUUAUGUGCCAGCCAAGUGAAUUACUGAAAUUACCCUGGCUAGAAUUACAAAAGUGGUUCUUGGUUCGAAAUUUCUUGAGCGUUUAAACUUUAGAUGAUAUAUUGUUUAUUGUUUCCUUUUUCAUGUUGAUCUCAUUGGGUACUCUGUUAGGCCAAUUUGUUUUGAUAAUUGUACUUUUUUACUAAUUAUGGAGCAAUCUUACUGCGUUGACAUGGAACAUGUUAGUCUAGCAUAGGAAUUAAUUAGCUUCCUUAUCGAUCUUUUUAGUUUCAAUUUUGUAGGUAUCGCCUCAAUGAAGAGAAAGCUGAGUGGAUUAUAUAUGUUACUGAUGUAGGCCAACAACAGCAUUUUGAUAUGGUGUUCAAAGUAUUUUCUCGAAGUUGUUUCUUGAAUUCUGUUGUGUAAUAUUUUAAAACCCUUUGUUAAUCUUAUUCAACUUACUGGGACUAUAUUGAUGUUUGUGAAUACCAUUAUAAUGAUCAUAAAGAGUUAUUCCGGCUUUUGACAUCUAGUCUUUUGCUGUAUAUUCUGAAACUAUUUUGGUUAUUUUUCAGGCUGCCAAACGUGCAGGGUGGCUUCCUCAAGGUGAUAAUUAUCCCAAAGCUAGCCAUGUUGGUUUUGGACUUGUUCUUGGAGAAGAUGGCAAGCGUUUUCGAACCCGUAACACUGAAGUAGUUCGUUUAGUUGAUCUACUUGAUGAAGCCAAGAACCGAAGUAAAGCAGCACUUAUCGAGCGUGGUAUGAUAUUGAACCUUAUCUCUGUUGUUACAAAUGUUUUUCAGCUCUUUUUAACUACCUUAUGUUUGUCAGUCUAUUAGUGAUGUAUUUGUUACUGCAAGUUCUUUCGGUUGUUAAAUUGUGUAGCCUUUGAACUUUUCAACCUCUUGUAUCUGAAAUUGUUACUUUGUGUGCCAAUCAGGUAAGGGUGAAGAAUGGACCGAGGAGGAGAUUGAGAGUACUGCUGAUGCAGUUGGUUAUGGUGCUGUAAAGUAAGCUACUUAUUAUUAUAUCAAGUUAUUUAUGUAAUCUAAUUAGUAUUGCUAUGUUCUUCUCAGUAGUUCUUGUACUAUUUUGUUUACUUUUUAAUAUUCAUUAAAUCUGAUUGCAGGUAUGCUGACUUGAAGAACAACAGAUUGACCAAUUAUACAUUCAAUUUUGACCAGAUGCUUAACGAUAAGGUGCCUAAUAGUUUUUUAUUUAGACUGCAAAUAUUGUGGAACUGGUUUCAUCAUUUUGGCCUGUAGUGAACUUUUUAUGAUGAAAGUUUCCCAUGUUUCUUCUGCUGCUUCUGAUUGUAGUUUUCUGCUUCUAAAUUUUUUUAAUGGCAGGGCAACACUGCUGUUUAUUUGCUAUAUGCUCAUGCUCGAAUAUGUUCAAUCAUCAGGAGAUCUGGUAAAGAUGUGGAGGAGCUAAAGAAUGUAAGUUCCCCCUCAAUCUGAAGAAGUACCGUUGUAAAUCUUUUAGUUGCCUUUUUAUGUAUUGACAUUAGUAUGCUGUUAUUAGGCUAAGUAGAACAACUCUUUUGUAUCAGAUUCAAUAGCUGCAACUUUUACCCAUUAUCUCUUUGUUUUUAAUAGAAGGGGACAUUAGUAUUGGAGCAUAAGGAUGAGCGCGAUUUGGGCUCCAUUUGCUGCAGUUUGCUGAGGUAAGAACUUAAGGAAAAAAAAGAACAAUCUAUUUAUUGUUUCUUGACUUAGGCUCGGUCUGACAAAUUUUUAUCUUGCUUUGAGGUUGUUGAGGAGGCUUGUACCAAUUUGUUACCGAAUGUUGUGUGUGACUACCUCUAUAGUUUAUCCGAAAUCUUCUCCAAAUUUUACAGCAACCCUGAGUGCAAGGUAUGAUCAACGAUCUAAUUAUAUGGUUUCUUGGUAAAAUAAACCUUGUUAUUGCUCGUCACCUUGCCCUCACAAGGCCGUUCACCUAGUGUUGAAACUAGGAAAGUUCUAAUGGCGGAGUGAUUCUAGGUAAAAGAUGUUGCAAUGAAACUUUGAGAUGACAUGUGGCAUAUAUUGAUGAAAUGAGCAGGUUAUCGGGUCAGAUAAGGAAACAAGUAGACUACUAUUAUGUGAAGCAACUGCAGUGGUUAUGAGAAAAUACUUCAAUCUCCUGGGAAUCACACCUAUUUACAAGAUAUGAUUGUACUUUGAAAGCUUUACAUAUAACCUAUUCUUGAGAAGGGUGGGUUAUAUAUUAGUUCAUAUAAAAUCCUAUGUACCGCGAUAAUUGUAUUCAGAUCUCAUUACUUUAUUUAUUUGGACAGUUUUG
rnacentral:lncRNA from 1 species